ACUGUGGGUAGCGGAGAAAUUCCAAUCGAACCCGGAGAUAGCUGGUUCUCUCCGAAAUAGCUUUAGGGCUAGCCUUGAAAUAGAUUACCGGAGGUAAAGCACUGAAUUGGCUAGGGGCCGAGAGGUUACUGAACCUUAUCAAACUAAGAAUGCCGGAUAAUCGUUUUUCAGGAGUCAGACAGUGGGAGAUAAGUUUCAUUGUCAAAAGGGAAACAGCCCAGACCCACAGCUAAGGUCCCCAAGUAUAGUUAAGUGGAAAAGGAUGUGGAAUUGCACAGACAACCAGGAUGUUGGCUUAGAAGCAGCCACUCAUUAAAAGAGUGCGUAAUAGCUCACUGGUCGAGUGACUCUGCGCCGAAAAUUUAACGGGGCUAAACUAUACACCGAAGCUUGGGAUACAUCUAAUGUAUGGUAGGAGAGCGUUCUGUAUGGGGAGAAGUCGUAGCGAAAGCGGCGGUGGACUAUACAGAAGUGAGAAUGCCGGAAUAAGUAGCGAGAAUUAAGUGAGAAUCUUAAUGGCCGAAAGUCUAAGGUUUUUGGAGGAAGGUUCGUCCGCUCCAAGUAAGUCGGGAGCUAAGGUCAGGCCGAAAGGCGUAGCCGAUGCACAUACGGUUGAUAUUCCGUAACCAUCUGUAAUUUAAGCAAAGGGACACUUCAAAAGGGUGUGACCCGGGCGUUGGUUGACCCGGGCGUAAGGGACCGAAAUUAGAGUAGGGAAGCACACUUAGCUGAAGGCGAGAAAAGCUUUGCGUAUAGAAACAGAUGCCCGUACCGCAAACCGACACAGGUGGACAGGAAGAGAAUUCUAAGGCCAGCGGGAGAAGGGUAGUUAAGGAACUCGGCAAAUUGACUCCGUAACUUCGGAAUAAGGAGUGCUCGAAAGAGCCGCAGAGAAUAGGCCCAGGCGACUGUUUAGCAAAAACACAGGUCUCUGCCAAAUCGAAAGAUGAAGUAUAGGGGCUGACACCUGCCCGGUGCCGGAAGGUUAAGAGGAGGAGUGAGAGCUCCGAAUUGAAGCCCCGGUAAACGGCGGCCGUAACUAUAACGGUCCUAAGGUAGCGAAAUUCCUUGUCGGGUAAGUUCCGACCCGCACGAAUGGUGUAACGAUCUGGACACUGUCUCAACUACCCACCCGGCGAAAUUGUAGUACCGGUGAAGAUGCCGGUUACCCGCGGCAAGACGGAAAGACCCCAUGGAGCUUUACUGUAACCUGAUAUUGGGUUUCGGUAUUUUAUGUACAGGAUAGGUGGGAGACUAUGAAACUAAGGCGCCAGCCUUAGCGGAGUCGCCCUUGGGAUACCACUCUUAAAGUACUGAAAUUCUAACCUGCGGCCGUGAAUCCGGUCGGGGGACAUUGUCAGGCGGGCAGUUUGACUGGGGCGGUCGCCUCCAAAAGAGUAACGGAGGCGCUCAAAGGUUCGCUCAGCAUGGUCGGAAACCAUGCCUUAGAGUGUAAACGCAAAAGCGAGCCUAACUGCGAGGCUGACGGGCCGAGCAGUAACGAAAGUUGGAGUUAGUGAUCCGGCGGUAUGUGAAUGGAAAUGCCGUCGCUCAACGGAUAAAAGCUACCCUGGGGAUAACAGGCUGAUCUCCCCCAAGAGUCCACAUCGACGGGGAGGUUUGGCACCUCGAUGUCGGCUCAUCACAUCCUGGGGCUGAAUUCGGUCCCAAGGGUUCGGCUGUUCGCCGAUUAAAGUGGUACGCGAGCUGGGUUCAGAACGUCGCGAGACAGUUCGGUCCCUAUCUGUCGUGGGCGCAGGAUAUUUGAGGAGCUCUGUCCUUAGUACGAGAGGACCGGGAUGGACGUACCUCUGGUGCACCAGUUGUCAUGCCAAUGGCACGGCUGGGCAGCUAUGUACGGAACGGAUAAACGCUGAAAGCAUCUAAGCGUGAAGCCGACUCCAAGAUUAGAUAUCCCAUCGUAUAACGAGUAAGACCCCUUGAAGACUACGAGGUUGAUAGGCUGCGUGUGUAAGUGCCGUGAGGCAUUCAGCUUGGCAGUACUAAUAGGUCGAGGGCUUGACCA
rnacentral:rRNA from 1 species